rnacentral:rRNA from 1 species
GAUGAACGCUGGCGGCGUGCUUAACACAUGCAAGUCGAACGGAAAGGCUCCUGCUUGCAGGGGUACUCGAGUGGCGAACGGGUGAGUAACACGUGGGUGAUCUGCCCUGCACUUCGGGAUAAGCCUGGGAAACUGGGUCUAAUACCGGAUAGGACGAUGGUUUGGAUGCCAUUGUGGAAAGUUUUUCGGUGUGGGAUGAGCUCGCGGCCUAUCAGCUUGUUGGUGGGGUAAUGGCCUACCAAGGCGUCGACGGGUAGCCGGCCUGAGAGGGUGUACGGCCACAUUGGGACUGAGAUACGGCCCAGACUCCUUCGGGAGGCAGCAGUGGGGAAUAUUGCACAAUGGGCGCAAGCCUGAUGCAGCGACGCCGCGUGGGGGAUGACGGCCUUCGGGUUGUAAACUCCUUUCGCUAGGGACGAAGCGCAAGUGACGGUACCUGGAGAAGAAGCACCGGCUAACUACGUG